ACUCCUACGGGAGGCAGCAGUGGGGAAUUUUGGACAAUGGGCGAAAGCCUGAUCCAGCAAUGCCGCGUGCAGGAUGAAGGCCCUCGGGUUGUAAACUGCUUUUGUACGGAACGAAAAGCCUGGGGCUAAUAUCCCCGGGUCAUGACGGUACCGUAAGAAUAAGCACCGGCUAACUACGUGCCAGCAGCCGCGGUAAUACGUAGGGUGCAAGCGUUAAUCGGAAUUACUGGGCGUAAAGCGUGCGCAGGCGGUUUUGUAAGACAGUGGUGAAAUCCCCGGGCUCAACCUGGGAACUGCCAUUGUGACUGCAAGGCUAGAGUGCGGCAGAGGGGGAUGGAAUUCCGCGUGUAGCAGUGAAAUGCGUAGAUAUGCGGAGGAACACCGAUGGCGAAGGCAAUCCCCUGGGCCUGCACUGACGCUCAUGCACGAAAGCGUGGGGAGCAAACAGGAUUAGAUACCCUGGUAGUCCACGCCCUAAACGAUGUCAACUGGUUGUUGGGUCUUAACUGACUCAGUAACG
rnacentral:rRNA from 1 species